AUGUUUAUUUACAUAUAUAUAUACUUAGCAUGUUUAUUUUCAUAUAUAAUUAGAAUUCACGUAAGUCUCGGAUUUAGGCGAUUCCGAAGGAGUUCUUCACGAUUUCGACUUGGUUAAGUGUUCUAUAUCCUUAAAUGAUUACAUUUCAUGAAUCUAUACCAAUAUUCGUUUAUUUCGGAUUUGGAUGAAAGAAAUUGAAGUUUCUGUAAAACUUUUCCAAAAAUGAAAAUUUAGGAUUUGAAGGUCCAU
rnacentral:lncRNA from 1 species